rnacentral:lncRNA from 1 species
UGAAUGCAGUUUUAAGUAAUAAGAUUCGGCUAUGCAAAGUAUUAAGUAAAUAAAAUGUUCCAUGAUGCUUUUAGUCAAAUGUUCCGAUAUGAAUUUCAAAGUUAAACGUGGCCUUGAUUUUUAGGGUAAGUGCAUGCUACAUAUAUAUAUGCAUUAAUAGGAUGUUUGGUCAUGUUAUAUGGCAUUAAGUUGCAUAUGCGAUUGCUAGU